AUACGUAGGGGGCGAGCGUUGUCCGGAAUGAUUGGGCGUAAAGGGCGCGUAGGCGGCCCGGUAAGUCUGGAGUGAAAGUCCUGCUUUUAAGGUGGGAAUUGCUUUGGAUACUGUCGGGCUUGAGUGCAGGAGAGGUAAGUGGAAUUCCCAGUGUAGCGGUUAAAUGCGUAGAGAUUGGGAGGAACACCAGUGGCGAAGGCGACUUACUGGACUGUAACUGACGCUGAGGCGCGAAAGUGUGGGGAGCAAACAGGAUUAGAUACCCUGGUAGUCCACACUGUAAACGAUGAAUGCUAGGUGUAGGGGGUAUCGACCCCUUCUGUGCCGCAGUUAACACAAUAAGCAUUCCGCCUGGGGAGUACGGCCGCAAGGUUGAAACUCAAAGGAAUUGGCGGGG
rnacentral:rRNA from 1 species